UAAAAAUAUAUAUGUAGUAGUGCGAGUAAGGAUCGUUCCCACGGAGAGUAUCUAGCCUAGUUUUAUGCAACUUGAACAAGGACGGAGGGGGAGUUUGAGUAUAACGAAAAUAAUAAAACAACUAAAGAAGAAUUCAGAUUUAAGUAUUGAAAUCAAUCAAAAGAACAAAUCUUGGUCUAAGUCAACAUCCACCAUCGGAAUUUUACAACUGAUCAUUGAUGCAAAGAUAUCAAUUUGCACUUUGAAUGUCCACCGAUAGAAAUAUUUUUCUAUCUCUUUUUAGUUGUAGUUAAUUAAAAACAAGCGUUCUAAUUAACCCUAACUACUAAACAACCCAAGACAAGCGCUAAAGGUUUAAUCUAGUAGCAGCCUUAAGAAUUAGAGAGAUCGAUGAAACUAAACAACACAAACACAAGCGGUUGCAUUUGAUUUAGCCGAGUAUUCUUCCUAAGAUCUGAAAAUUUCUGACGCAGCAAAUUAUUAGAUCUUAAUUGCUUCACAGAUUAGAGGAAUCAAACAAUUACGGAUUUGAUAUCUAACCUAGCAGUAGAUUGCAACGAAUAAUAAACUAGUAGGCCUCCUAGUCAUUAAACAAAAAUAAUCAUGAAAAUAUGCACAGAAGGACAUUCGACAUCAAAGCUGAAUUGAACAAUUAAAACAAAUUCAGAUCUCACAGUUUUAUUGAUUCCGAGGCUUCUGUUUUCUUAGACCAAUAAAAGCUUUAGCCACGCAGAGCCAUGGAUGCAAACUUCCAAGGAGAAAAGAGAAAGAGGAGUCCUCCAAGAGAAAAGAGAAAGAGCCCCCUUUUGCAGCCCCCUUUGCAGCCCCUUUUCUUUCACCUUUAUCCCUUCCAAAAAAAUCUCCUAACAAAUAUUCAAAUCUGACUAAUUACGAAAAGUAAAAUAAAGUCCUAAUAUAACUGGGAAAGUGGUGUUUCCAGCUAGGAUUUUCGUGCAUCAAAUCUGGAAACUUCUGAAAAUUGACCGAGUCAAAU
rnacentral:lncRNA from 1 species